CUUGCAGCCAUAUCAUGUUGAAACACAGUUCCUGUACAAUCACUAAAGUUAAGCAACAUCGAGCCUGGUCAGUACCUAGAUGGGUGACUGCUUGAGAGUACCAGGUGCUGUAAG